AACGAACGCUGGCGGCAUGCCUAACACAUGCAAGUCGAACGAGACCUUCGGGUCUAGUGGCGCACGGGUGCGUAACGCGUGGGAACCUGCCCUUAGGUUCGGAAUAACUCCCCGAAAGGGGUGCUAAUACCGGAUAAUUUCUUCGGACCAAAGAUUUAUCGCCUUUGGAUGGGCCCGCGUUGGAUUAGCUAGUUGGUAGGGUAAAAGCCUACCAAGGCGACGAUCCCUAGCUGGUCUGAGAGGAUGAUCAGCCACACUGGGACUGAGACACGGACGAGACUCUUACGGGAGGCAGCAGUGGGGAAUAUUGGACAAUGGGCGAAAGCAUGAUCCAGCAAUGCCGCGUGAGUGAUGAAGGAGUUAGGGUUGUAAAGCUCUUUUACACGCGAUGAUAAUGACAGUACCGGGAGAAUAAGCGCCGGCUAACUCCGUG
rnacentral:rRNA from 1 species